GACGAACGCUGGCGGCGUGCUUAACACAUGCAAGUCGAACUGAAAGGCCUGCUUUCCCUUGUGGAUUGCGGGUACUCGAGUGGCGAACGGGUGAGUAACACGUGAGUGAUCUGCCCCCAACUUGGGUAUAAGCCUGGGAAACUGGGUCUAAUUCCCGAUAGGACUGCAGGGUGGUGCCUGUGGUGGAAAACGAUUUUCUAGUGGUUGGGGAUGAGCUCGCGGCCUAUCAGCUUGUUGGUGGGGUAAUGGCCUACCAAGGCGGCGACGGGUAGCCGGCCUGAGAGGGUGGACGGCCACAUUGGGACUGAGAUACGGCCCAGACUCCUACGGGAGGCAGCAGUGGGGAAUAUUGCACAAUGGGCGGAAGCCUGAUGCAGCGACGCCGCGUGGGGGAUGACGGCCUUCGGGUUGUAAACUCCUUUCGACCGCGAGGAAGCCACCUGGUUGGAAGGGUGGUGACGGUAGUGGUAGAAGAAGCACCGGCUAACUACGUG
rnacentral:rRNA from 1 species